AUUGAACGCUGGCGGCAUGCCUUACACAUGCAAGUCGAACGGUAACAGGUCUUCGGAUGCUGACGAGUGGCGAACGGGUGAGUAAUGUAUCGGAACGUACCUUUCAGUGGGGGAUAACGUAGCGAAAGUUACGCUAAUACCGCAUAUUCUGUGAGCAGGAAGGCAGGGGAUCGCAAGACCUUGCGCUGAUUGAGCGGCCGAUAUCAGAUUAGCUAGUUGGUGAGGUAAAGGCUCACCAAGGCGACGAUCUGUAGCGGGUCUGAGAGGAUGAUCCGCCACACUGGAACUGAGACACGGUCCAGACUCCUACGGGAGGCAGCAGUGGGGAAUUUUGGACAAUGGGGGCAACCCUGAUCCAGCCAUGCCGCGUGAGUGAAGAAGGCCUUCGGGUUGUAAAGCUCUUUCGGCCGGGAAGAAAUCGUAUGGGUUAAUACCCUGUGCGGAUGACGGUACCGGCAUAAGAAGCACCGGCUAACUACGUG
rnacentral:rRNA from 1 species